GCCUAACACAUGCAAGUCGAGCGGUAGCACAGAGAGCUUGCUCUCGGGUGACGAGCGGCGGACGGGUGAGUAAUGUCUGGGAAACUGCCUGAUGGAGGGGGAUAACUACUGGAAACGGUAGCUAAUACCGCAUAACGUCGCAAGACCAAAGUGGGGGACCUUCGGGCCUCAUGCCAUCAGAUGUGCCCAGAUGGGAUUAGCUAGUAGGUGGGGUAACGGCUCACCUAGGCGACGAUCCCUAGCUGGUCUGAGAGGAUGACCAGCCACACUGGAACUGAGACACGGUCCAGACUCCUACGGGAGGCAGCAGUGGGGAAUAUUGCACAAUGGGCGCAAGCCUGAUGCAGCCAUGCCGCGUGUAUGAAGAAGGCCUUCGGGUUGUAAAGUACUUUCAGCGGGGAGGAAGGCGAUAAGGUUAAUAACCUUUGUCGAUUGACGUUACCCGCAGAAGAAGCACCGGCUAACUCCGUGCCAGCAGCCGCGGUAAUACGGAGGGUGCAAGCGUUUAUCGGAAUUACUGGGCGUAAAGCGCACGCAGCGGUCUGUCAAGUCGGAUGUGAAUCCCGGGCUCACCUGGGACUGCAUUCGAAACUGGCAGCUAGAGUCUUGUAGAGGGGUAGAAUUCAGUGUACGUGAAUGCGUAAGAUCUGGAGAUACCGUGCGAGGCGCCCCCU
rnacentral:rRNA from 1 species